rnacentral:rRNA from 1 species
AGUGAACGCUGGCGGUAGGCCUAACACAUGCAAGUCGAACGGCAGCACAGUAAGAGCUUGCUCUUACGGGUGGCGAGUGGCGGACGGGUGAGGAAUACAUCGGAAUCUACUUUUUCGUGGGGGAUAACGUAGGGAAACUUACGCUAAUACCGCAUACGACCUACGGGUGAAAGCAGGGGAUCUUCGGACCUUGCGCGAUUGAAUGAGCCGAUGUCGGAUUAGCUAGUUGGCGGGGUAAAGGCCCACCAAGGCGACGAUCCGUAGCUGGUCUGAGAGGAUGAUCAGCCACACUGGAACUGAGACACGGUCCAGACUCCUACGGGAGGCAGCAGUGGGGAAUAUUGGACAAUGGGCGCAAGCCUGAUCCAGCCAUACCGCGUGGGUGAAGAAGAUCUUCGGGUUGUAAAGCCCUUUUGUUGGGAAAGAAAAGCAGCAGGUUAAUACCCCGCUGUUCUGACGGUACCCAAAGAAUAAGCACCGGCUAACUUCGUG